GACAUCACAAGUAACCUUUCGGUGGCAACUGAGAGGAAUGGACUCUUUUACAGAUCAAAUCUACAGUUUCAAUACCAGUUGGCAGAUAAUUGUUAUCAAAACAUUUCAAUCCAGUGCAUAGUUGGCAAAAAAAUUAUAACUGUGGUUAACAGCACUUUGCCCUGUUCAUCAAAAUUAAGUCAGAAAAAAAUAAUUGCUACUAUUAUAUCAACCAGUUGGAUCCUCGUCAGCAUUGGAGUGUUGAUAGUUUUACUAUAUAAACGACGAAAUUAUAUUUGUUUUAAAUUCGAAUCACCAGUAUCAAAUGAUUAUAACAACAAAGAACGCAUUGCCAUGGCUUAAUAAUGCAAAGAAAUACAACUUGAGUCACCAACUGGCGAGUCAACAUUAAAGGGGAAACGAUUUGAUUUACUCUAAAUAAUAUUUAUAACUUCACCAUACAUACAAAAAUGUAGUACAUUGUUAGUCACAAUGGACUCUUGUACACGGACUUGUUAGAGGUCGAAACCACAAUCGAGGAUGGAAGAAAACAAGUCUUUUCAUUUUGUUUUGGUAAAACCAAGUUUUGUGUUUUGAUUAGUGUUUUCUAGGUAAGGAAAGUUAAGAAACGGGUUUACACGUGGAAAGAUACAGGUUUAAAGAUUAUCACCUGAACACUGGAAUUUAUUUUUGACAGAUAUAAACGUGCAUUGGUGAAGAACAAGACAAUUUUUUGUUAUUAUGAUUC